rnacentral:rRNA from 1 species
UGGCAGCGACGUGCUACCAUGCAGUCGAACGAUGAACCCGAAGCUUGCUUUGGGGGAUUAGUGGCGAACGGGUGAGUAACACGUGAGCAACCUGCCCCUCACUCUGGGAUAAGCGCUGGAAACGGCGUCUAAUACUGGAUACGAGUCGCAACCGCAUGGUUAGUGACUGGAAAGAUUUUUUGGUGGGGGAUGGGCUCGCGGCCUAUCAGCUUGUUGGUGAGGUAAUGGCUCACCAAGGCGUCGACGGGUAGCCGGCCUGAGAGGGUGACCGGCCACACUGGGACUGAGACACGGCCCAGACUCCUACGGGAGGCAGCAGUGGGGAAUAUUGCACAAUGGGCGGAAGCCUGAUGCAGCAACGCCGCGUGAGGGAUGACGGCCUUCGGGUUGUAAACCUCUUUUAGCAGGGAAGAAGCGAAAGUGACGGUACCUGCAGAAAAAGCACCGGCUAACUACGUGCCAGCAGCGGCCGGUAAU